CAGCCCGCCGGUAAUACGGAGGGGGUUAGCGUUGUUCGGAAAUUACUGGGCGUAAAGCGUACGUAGGCGGGAUUAAUAAGUUAGAGGUGAAAUCCCAGGGCUCAACCCUGGAACUGCCUUUUAAAACUGUUAGUCUUGAGAUCGAGAGAGGUGAGUGGAAUUCCAAGUGUAGAGGUGAAAUUCGUAGAUAUUUGGAGGAACACCAGUGGCGAAGGCGGCUCACUGGCUCGAUACUGACGCUGAGGUACGAAAGUGUGGGGAGCAAACAGGAUUAGAUACCCUGGUAGUCCACACCGUAAACGAUGAAUGCCAGACGUCAGCAAGCAUGCUUGUUGGUGUCACACCUAACGGAUUAAGCAUUCCGCCUGGGGAGUACGGUCGCAAGAUUAAAACUCAAAGGAAUUGACGGGGGCCCGCACAAGCGGUGGAGCAUGUGGUUUAAUUCGACGCAACGCGCAGAACCUUACCAACCCUUGACAUACUUGUCGCGGAUUCCAGAGAUGGAUUCCUUCAGUUCGGCUGGACAAUGUACAGGUGCUGCAUGGCUGUCGUCAGCUCGUGUCGUGAGAUGUUCGGUUAAGUCCGGCAACGAGCGCAACCCACGUCCUUAGUUACCAGCAUUUAGUUGGGUACCCUAAGGAGACUGCCGGUGAUAAGCCGGAGGAAGGUGUGGACGACGUCAAGUCAUCAUGGCCCUUACGGGUUGGGCUACACACGUGCUACAAUGGCAUCUACAGUGAGUUAAUCUCCAAAAGAUGUCUCAGUUCGGAUUGGGGUCUGCAACUCGACCCCAUGAAGUUGGAAUCGCUAGUAAUCGCGGAACAGCAUGCCGCGGUGAAUACGUUCCCGGGCCUUGUACACACCGCCCGUCACACCAUGGGAAUUGGGUCUACCCGAAGGUGGUGCGCCAACUAUUUAUAGAGGCAGCCAACCACGGUAGGUUCAGUGACUGGGGUGAAGUCGUAACAAGGUAGCCGUA
rnacentral:rRNA from 1 species